UUUUUAAUUGUUGAUAAACAAAAAAUCUCUCGCUUAACGCUUUAGUAAAAAUACGGAGUUAAAAUUUAAAACAAGCAGUUUUAUGUACUUAUAUAUUUUAAUGUUUAAAAUUGUACCUACACACUGUAGCUAGAAUAAACUAUUUAGUUGUUUAAUAAGAAACUUCAAAGGCACACCAACAACACAGACGCGCCGAUGCUCAUCUAAAAUAUAGCAGAUACGAUGAAGCAAUACAAUGCCAUCAAAAUGCAGCAGAACUACUUCUUGAGGCUAUGAAAUCCACAUCUUCGCCAGUAGCUUUAGAAUCAAUAACCUUGCAGCACAGCUAUCAUCUCAAACAGACAGAAUUUAU